rnacentral:lncRNA from 1 species
AAAUCCAUAUUUUUUUAUAAUUCUUUUAUACCAAAAAAGAAAAAAAAAUGCUUAGGUUGAUUAGCUUGAAUUAUUUAGCCAACAAUAAGGGAAAAUCAGAUAAAUUAGUGAAUUGGCCUGACAUCAAUAGAUAGACCUAUGAACCUGGAUUUAUAGGUCCAUAAUAUUUAUGUUAGUUGAUAUCUUUGAUUAUAAGUAAUAUUUUAAAAAUGAUAUAAUUCUAAUUGUAAAGCAUAUAAUUUAUCAAAUAUAGCCUGAUUCUAUUUUAGUUUUAUAGACUGAUUUAUAUAAUCAGUACAAACUAGACAUGAACACUCUAACAGGUUACUGGUAUAAAAAAGUAAGCAAGGAAAAGAAAAGAGGAUAAUUUUAUCUUGUUAGUUAAUAUUUCUUGGGUCUUCCCUCUAAACUUUAGUUUUUAUUUGGAGCAUGUAUACUAAUAAGGAAUUUAGAUAGAUAGAUAGAUAGAUUUUGUAUGUGUGUGUGUUUCAUUUUCAACGGGCGAGACAGGCUCUGAGUAACCCAGGCAUCCCAAGUGCUGGGAUUAGUCGUGUGCUAACAUGACUCACUUCACUGUAAGCUUUCUCAUCAGAGGUGUAGAGCAGGGAAUCUGGGUAAAUGGAGUGGGCAAGCAAGGUUGGCUUGGGUUUCUUUCAGGAGAUUUUAGCCCUGAAGAGGUCUGUGGGAUGUCUAGACUAAGAUUGAGAUGCUGGUAAACCCUUAUUAUUUAUCUAUUUAAAAAAUCAUUAGUGUAUAUUAAUUACAUAGUCAUUUCCAUUAUAAAAUUUUCAUAAUGUACACAGUUUAGUUCAACAUCUGCCUCCCACUCUCCAGAUUAUGUUUUUGUUAUAAUUCCAUUCCUUUCCCCCUGAUCCCGUCUCCCCACCCCACUCUUCCCAUCGGCUCAGUGGUGUUCCAGGCAGCACUUACUUACUCUGUAGUUUCCACUUGGAGUUGGCUUUGAGAUUGGCCUUGCUGGGCAGUUCCAGGUUCUAAAGUCAGAAUGAUACAGAGUGAAAGAGCGUUACACCAAGUCUCAGGACUGAAAAUGCUCACUAAAGAGCUUACAGUGGCAAACUCUUGGAAUCUCUUGGGGAUUCUCUCACUUCUCAUAAGUGCUCCGACAAAGGCAGAAGUGGCAUAAGAGAAAAACAGGGACAUAAUCCUUGGGAGCUUCAAGUGUGGGUUACUGACAGCAUGCAGAGGUCUGGUCUAGCCUCUGCUACUGACACCAUGCAGAGGUCUGAUCUAGUCUCUGCUACCGAGACAUCGUGCAGAGGUCUGGUCUAGUCUCUGGACACCACUUCUCUGCUGCUAUCAUUUAUAUAAACAUGGGAAAUCUUGUGGUUAACUUUUGUUGUUUGUUCUUUUGAGAAGGGGGUCCUAGUGUGUAGCCCUGGCUGCUCUGGGACUCACUGUGUAGAUCAGGUUGGCCUGGAACUCACAGAGAUCUGUCUGCCUCUGCUUCCAGAGUGCUGGGAUUAAAGGUGUGUGCGCACUAUAAUACCUGACUCUGCUUAACUUUCUGAAGCUAGGCAGACUUGUGCUGUAUUUAGAGACUAGGAAGUGGGUUCACGUUAGUGUCAUGCUCAGAGGGAAGGUCUGUCAUCUCACAGGAGAUAGAUAGCGUCUGCCCAGUGAGGUACAUUUGCUCUUCCUAUUCUCCCUGUGGACGUAGUGGACAGCCGUUUAUGUAUUUUAUUUUCUUGCUCUCGUCAGAUUUGGGAUUCUGCGACUGGGAAGCUUGUGCACACCUACGACGAGCACUCGGAGCAAGUCAAUUGCUGCCAUUUCACCAACAAGAGUAACCACCUUCUCUUGGCCACUGGGUCAAAUGAUUUCUUCCUCAAGGUGAGUGGGUAUUGGAGACUACGAAGAUGAAUUCGUGAUAUAGCAGAAUAUCUUCGUUGAUUUUCUUCUGUGUAUUGUAUUAGGUUUUGUUUUGUUUUGUUUUGUUUUGGUGGGGGGAACAAGGUCUCAUUAUAUAGCUCUGGCUGUCCCGGAACUCACUCUGUAGACCAGGCCAGCUUCAAACACAGAGAUCCACCUACCUCUUCCUCCCAAGUGCUGGGGUUAAAGUCAGGUGCACCUGGGUGUCUAUUUUGCUUAUUUAUUUUAACCUCACUGUUAGGGAUUAACCCAUGUGCUAAGUAAAUGCUCUGUCCCUGAGCUGCAUCUCCAGCUCCUUCCCGGUUUACUGUCGCAGUGUUUGAGAUGUCCCCGUUUUAAAUUCCAUAUCCAUAAGCAGAAAGUCGGGGAAAAAAGAGGCAUUACAGCUUACAUUACUGCAAACUGCACAGGGAGCGUGGAUCCCGCUGGUGGCAUUCCUGAUCCGUCAGCUGUAUUCUCAGGCCGCCCGCCCUCUCUCCUUCUCUCCCUCCCUCCCUGCCACUGGUCUCUGCCGACUUUGAUGAUCCAGUCACGCUGUCUUUAUGUGACAGGAAAUACCUCAGCUCCAGGUUAGUCCCAAAGUCCCUAAUCACAGAGGAAGAGCAACUCGUCCUGUCCCAGAGCCUACAGGUCAGAGUUUAGAGAAGUCCCUCAUUACCCCGUUUAGUUCAGACUCAUUGUUCCGUAAGUGCAGUGCCAACAGGCUUGUGCACAGGUCACAGGCGUGGCCCUGUAAAAGGGAGAGAAGGAGGAGGCCUGAUGUGUGAGAAUUGUAACAGUUCAGAAGAAGGAGCUGCUGUGAGACGCAGAAGGAAGGAGGAAAAGGUGUGGUAGGAAUAUAAGCAAAACCCACGUGUCCGCCUCAUGAAUAUCUGAUGAUAUUGUGAUUAGGAAUUAUAGGAGAUUGCAUCUUUUAGUCUCUUUAAGUAGAUAACUGUAGGUAGAUUAAAUUCUCUGGUGUUCUAGAAGUUAUCUUCUUUUGGAUUUUUUUUUUUUUAAUUAAUUUUGUUUCAGAUCGUUGGUCCACAAUGUGACACCAUUUUUACAGCGGCAUCUCAGAUUUUUAGGAGGUGCAUGUGAAACAUUUUAGAGAACCGCAGGCUGCACUCCUGCAAUCCCAGCUCUCCGGAGGCCGAGGCAGGAGGAGCUUGAGCUAUAUAGCAAGGGCUACAGAGUAAAACUGUGGCUCAAACAGAUGCGGUUUUACAACUUUCCACAAGGAUACGGUGGGCGAAGCUUCACUAGAGAGUGCUGCCCUGGCACGCAAAUGCUCCAGCUUCAAACCUCAGCACUGCGAAAAAUCAAAGUGAGAUCUUUCCAGCCCUAUUUUAUAAAAGCUUUACAUCCAAAACUAGACCUUUUGUUUAGAGCAAACCGUGUGUGUGUUUGUCAUUUCACCUGAAACAUUUCAGCUUCACCCUCAGAUGACAGUACCAUGCUGUGUUCACACCUAAGAGUAGUGGGCUGUGGUUCUGCUACAUAGCUGGCUUGUGUUAAUUUCCCCAUAUGUGGUCUCAGACCCAUAGCUUUAUUAGAUUCAGAAUCCAGACAAACUUGGCUCUUGGUGGUUGUCUCUUUUAUUCUGUUAAAAAGUCUCUUUUUCUCCUUUUUCCUUUCCCUGGUGUUGGGUUACUAGACAGGUAGAGUUACUUGCUCGAGGACUGUCACUCUGACUUGUUGGGUGGCUCACUGGACUGCUGUUUGACCUGAGCGGUAGUUCCUGUAUUCUGGUAUCAGGGAAGGUUUUGGGUUUUUUUUAGGCCAUUAAUAGCUUUUACCCAAUUAGUUAUCUCAAGGUUUGGGAUGUCUCAG